rnacentral:rRNA from 1 species
UACGGAGGGGGCUAGCGUUGUUCGGAAUUACUGGGCGUAAAGCGCGCGUAGGCGGCUUUGCAAGUUAGAGGUGAAAGCCCGGGGCUCAACUCCGGAAUUGCCUUUAAAACUGCAUCGCUAGAAUUGUGGAGAGGUAAGUGGAAUUCCGAGUGUAGAGGUGAAAUUCGUAGAUAUUCGGAAGGACACCAGUGGCGAAGGCGACUUACUGGACACAUAUUGACGCUGAGGUGCGAAAGCGUGGGGAGCAAACAGG